rnacentral:tRNA from 1 species
AGAAACUUAGGAUUAAUUUUAAACCGAAGGCCUUCAAAGCCUUAAACAAGAGUUAGACUCUCUUAGUUUCUG